rnacentral:rRNA from 1 species
UGAACGCUGGCGAGAUGCCUUACACAUGCAAGUCAUACGGGAAUUUUUAAUUUAAGUGGCGGACGGGUGAGUAACACGUAAGAAUUUGCCUUUAGGAGGGGGACAACAACUGGAAACGGUUGCUAAUACCCCAUAUGCUUUCGAGUGAAAUGGAAUUUUCCGCCUAAAGAGAAGCUUGCGGCUGAUUGGCUUGUUGGUAAGGUAAUGGCUUACCAAGGCGACGAUCAGUAUCUGGUUUGAGAGGAUGAUCAGACACACUGGAACUGAGACACGGUCCAGACUCCUACGGGAGGCAGCAGUGGGGAAUUUUCCGCAAUGGGCGAAAGCCUGACGGAGCAAUCUCGCGUGAGGGAUGACGGCCUAUGGGUUGUAAAACCCUCUUUUUUUCAGGGAGGGAAUAAAUAGACGUGUACCUGAAGAAUAAGCAUCGGCUAACUCCGUGCCAGCAGCCGCGGUAAUCU